UUUAUGGUGCAUCGACCGGGAAUCGAACCCGGGCCGCACGCGUGGCAGGCGAGCAUUCUACCACUGAACCACCGAUGCU
ensembl:ncRNA ZC132.10 ncRNA